rnacentral:tRNA from 1 species
CGACCGUCUGGCUGAGGAACGAGAACGUCGACUUCGAGUCGAGGUCGGUGUCGUCGAUGUACCACCAGCGCCCGCGGUACGACACCGCGACGAACGC